UUAAGAUGAAAAUUUGCAUCCAUCGUAUUUGAGUCAAAUAUAGUUGGAAGAUUUUCUAAAAGUAUUAUGUUUCUUUCUAGGUCUGGGCCGGCUAUAUCAUUCUUGCAUGAUGUAAGAAAAAUAAGUCUCCCCGUCGUUAUGGAGUUUCGUGUACAUAUCAUCUCCCAUAUUAUUACAAUUUUUUUUUUUUAAACUUCAUAUUAUUACAAGUUUACAACUAUACUAAGAGAAUCUUUCCAUAUGUUUGAUCUGCGUUCAACUGUUCACAUACAAGAUUUUAUCCCUAAUCUUGCUUGUGAUGGGAGUGUCUAUUUUACCUAUGAAAAUGCUUGAAUCGCUGCUGCUCAUAUUUUAACUAAGUAACACUGACAUUUCAAUGCGAUUUAUGAAAAUCAAAAGCUCUAAAUAUAUUAAUACAUUAUGAUGGUUUUUGGAAAGAUCUUAAAGAAUCGUAAUGUUUAACACCCGAGAGCAGUUCCUGCCAGUGCACAAGAGUUGAGACUUGGUAGAUAGACUUAAGGCCCAUUGAAUUCAUACACACACAGACACACACUCGUCAGUCACAAGAACCACAUCAGUCAUCACAAACACUUAUCUUCUAAAUUUGAGCAGAGCCUCAUAGUUCAACUUUCUAGUUGCCUCAUCAAUACACCAAACUUGUCGUGUAUGCAUGACUCAAGUGGCAUUAAGUUGGCCACACAAAAUUCAUGAACAUUAGAGAGUAGUUUCUGACAUUGCACAAGAGCUGAGACUUGGUAGGUAUAGACUUAAGGCCCAUUGAAUUCACAUACAUGCACUCAU
rnacentral:lncRNA from 1 species